rnacentral:rRNA from 1 species
UACGAAGGGGGCUAGCGUUGCUCGGAAUCACUGGGCGUAAAGGGCUCGUAGGUGGCCAACUAAGUCAGACGUGAAAUCCCUCGGCUUAACCGGGGAACUGCGUCUGAUACUGGAUGGCUUGAGUUCGGGAGAGGGAUGCGGAAUUCCAGGUGUAGCGGUGAAAUGCGUAGAUAUCUGGAGGAACACCGGUGGCGAAGGCGGCAUCCUGGACCGACACUGACACUGAGGAGCGAAAGCCAGGGGAGCAAACGGG